GUUGCAGCUUGUCGCUGUCCUGCGCGAGCGCGUGUCCUCGGGCAGUUGAGUGCUCACUUGUCCCACGUACAUGCGAACUAGGGGUCCUUCCGGUUUCUCUGGAGACUUCAAGCGACUUUUGACAGAGGACCCGUGAUGAGGCCGCAGGGAAAGUCAUUUUUUGAAUGCCUAUAAUAGAAUGGCUUGGCUUCUGAUAACCAGGUGUGCAAGAUAUGCUCUUCAGGACACAGUUCAGUGCCCGGCACAGGAAUUAUGAAGGUAGUGGGGAAGAAACAGUGGUUGAAGUAUGAAGCACCAGAAGCUGAUCUCUGGAAAGAUCUUCCUUCCUGACCACCACCUGUGAACAGAAAGCUUCUGUUUGUACCUGUGAAUUCCAGCCAGCUUGUCAUCUUCCCUUCCUUACUGCCUUUCCUAUGGACUUUGUGCUUGCUUAGCCAGCCCCCACAGUUGUGCUAGCCAAUCCCUCAUAAUAAAUAUA